rnacentral:rRNA from 1 species
UAGACCUCAAAUCGGGUGAGACUACCCCGCGACUA